GACGAACCGUCCUAACGUUGUUCGGAAUUACUGGGCUUAAAGGGCGCGUAGGCGGUCGGCAAAGUCAGGGGUGAAAUCUUUCGGCUCAACCGGAAAAGUGCCUUUGAAACUAGUCGACUCGAGCGAGGUAGAGGCAUGUGGAACUUCCGGUGGAGCGGUGAAAUGCGUUGAUAUCGGAAGGAACGCCGGUGGCGAAAGCGACGUGCUGGACCUCUUCUGACGCUGAGGCGCGAAAGCCAGGGGAGCGAAUGGG
rnacentral:misc_RNA from 1 species